rnacentral:rRNA from 1 species
GAGUUUGAUCUUGGCUCAGAUUGAACGCUGGCGGCAUGCCUUACACAUGCAAGUCGAACGGCAGCACGGGAGCUUGCUCCUGGUGGCGAGUGGCGAACGGGUGAGUAAUGCAUCGGAACGUAUCCUGGAGUGGGGGAUAACGUAGCGAAAGUUACGCUAAUACCGCAUAUUCUGUGAGCAGGAAAGCGGGGGACCUUCGGGCCUCGCGCUCUUGGAGCGGCCGAUGUCGGAUUAGCUAGUUGGUGAGGUAAAGGACUCACCAAGGCGACGAUCCGUAGCAGGUCUGAGAGGAUGAUCUGGCCACACUGGAACUGGAGACACGGUCCAGACUCCUACGGAGGCAGCAGUGGGAAUUUUGGACGAAUGGGGGCAACCCUGAUCCAGCCAUG